AGUGAACGCUGGCGGUAGGCCUAACACAUGCAAGUCGAACGGCAGCACAGGAGAGCUUGCUCUCUGGGUGGCGAGUGGCGGACGUGUGAGGAAUACAUCGGAAUCUACUUUUUCGUGGGGGAUAACGUAGGGAAACUUACGCUAAUACCGCAUACGACCUACGGGUGAAAGCAGGGGAUCUUCGGACCUUGCGCGAUUGAAUGAGCCGAUGUCGGAUUAGCUAGUUGGCGGGGUAAAGGCCCACCAAGGCGACGAUCCGUAGCUGGUCUGAGAGGAUGAUCAGCCACACUGUAACUGAGACACGGUCCAGACUCCUACGGGAGGCAGCAGUGGGGAAUAUUGGACAAUGGGCGCAAGCCUGAUCCAGCCAUACCGCGUGGGUGAAGAAGGCCUUCGGGUUGUAAAGCCCUUUUGUUGGGAAAGAAAUCCAGCUGGUUAAUACCCGGUUGGGAUGACGGUACCCAAAGAAUAAGCACCGGCUAACUUCGUGCCAGCCGCCGCAGUAA
rnacentral:rRNA from 1 species